UCUUCUUAUCAUAUAAAAAAAGGUAGAGGGAGUACCAAAGAUUAAUAAUGCACACAAUGAUGAGCCCAAGCCUGUAAAUGAGGUCUUUCCCAAACCACCUUGCAUGUAAAGUAUAAACUACAAAGAACAAAAAAAAUAAAAGUAAUGAAGAAACAAUACACCCAAUUACCUAGGCCUAAUCAUGAUCAUCACACCAUUCUCUUCAUCAAUGAAAAAAAAAUAUAAACAUGCAUGUAGCAUCGACAUUUUCAGAUUGAAGGGGUCCCUAGUUUCCAACAUGUGCCAGUGUCCAAUACCAAUACCGAUACGUGUUGGUGUUCGAUAUCGGCCUUGACACCGACAACAACGACACAUAUAGUUACAUUCAAUUACUUUAAUUUUUUCAUAUUAUUAUUAUCAUCGUGGUGUCAUGUCUGGUGUUCGUCUCUAUGUGAGCAUGUGACGCUCAAUGUUUUCAUUUGUUAAAACUUAAAAGGACAUGUCUUUAAUGCCUGUCUGUCAUAUAUACAUAUAUAGUUCAUAGGGUCCUUUGUCCAUACUAGUCAGUUUCAGACAGUUCAAAAUCUCACUCUUUAACUUUAGAAAAGCAAAACAACACAUGGAAAGCCGUUUGAGGUUGAAAAUGUAUUCCUAAAAGCUAAACAGGAAGCAGUUUAGGAACAAACUAUAAUGAUAAUAAGUAGUUAAUUUGCAACUGAUUCAUUUAUAUUGUUAGAAAAGAAUUAAAUCAAAUCAUCAUACAUGCCAUAGUUUAACAACAAUUUAAUAUGGUGAGACCAGUGAUGAGCUACUUAACAAUUAUGGACUCACCGAAAGUGAACAUUAUUUGGUCACAUCAUCCUCUUAGAUUAUUAAGCAUUCAUGACCAAAGUUAUUAAGCAUUGCAUUCAUAUAUUAUAUAUAAUUAUAUAUGUUCAAUUACUUUUAGGAUAUGCUUAUUAAGCAGACAUAUGACCCAAAAUGAGGCUCAUGCACUAAGCAACACCAUGUUAGUGGUUGUUCAAAGCAAGUAUGAAACACUCUGGAAAUGACACAAAAAUAAGCUGUCUUCAAAUGUUUAAAUCUAGGAGCAUGUGAGUAUCAUCAUCAAUAAUCAUGGAUUUGGAAAUUUGAGUAUGGGCAAUGAAAUGGGUAAUAACAACACUUCUGCUAUCAAAGAGGAAGAUAACAUAAGUGAAGCUGAUAAAAAGAAUCUCCUAGAGGAUACCAGUGAACUUGCAAAUGAGAUAUCACAAGAUGUUUAUGAAGAUUGUGUCAAAGAAGAAAAUCAUAAUAUACCAAUAUCUUUAGCCAAAGAUGUUAUGGAAAAAGAUUCAAACACUUCUAGUGAUA